rnacentral:rRNA from 1 species
UUCCGGUUGAUCCUGCCGGACCCGACUGCUAUCGGAGUGGGACUAAGCCAUGCGAGUCGAACGUCCCUCGACUGCGAGGGGCGUGGCACACGGCUCAGUAACACGUAGCCAACCUACCCUGAAGACGUGGAUAACCCCGGGAAACUGGGACUAAUCCACGAUAGGUGAGGGUUUCUGGAAUGAUCCCUCACCCAAAGGGGUGGGCAAGCAUGUUUUGCCCACUCGCUUCAGGAUGGGGCUGCGGCUGAUCAGGUAGUUGGUGGGGUAAUGGCCCACCAAGCCUAUGACCAGUACGGGCUUUGAGAGAAGGAGCCCGGAGAUGGACACUGAGACAAGGGUCCAGGUCCUACGGGGCGCAGCAGGCGCGAAACCUUCGCAAUGCGCGAAAGCGCGACGAGGUCACUCCGAGUGUCGUCCGCUGAGGACGACUUUUCCUAGGUCUAAAAAGCCUAGGGAAUAAGGGGAGGGUAAGUCUGGUGUCAGCCGCCGCGGUAAUACCAGCUCCCCGAGUGGUCGGGACGUUUAUUGGGCCUAAAGCAUCCGUAGCUGGCCCUGUAAGUCCUCUGUUAAAUUCAACGGCUUAACCGUUGAACUGCGGAGGAUACUGCGGGGCUAGGAGGCGGGAGAGGCGGACGGUACUCCGUGGGUAGGGGUAAAAUCCACUGAUCCACGGAAGACCACCAGUGGCGAAGGCGGUCCGCCAGAACGCGCUCGACAGUGAGGGAUGAAAGCUGGGGGAGCGAACCGGAUUAGAUACCCGGGUAGUCCAGCUGUAAACGAUGCGAGCUAGGUGAUGGAAU